GGAACCAUCACCUUCCAAAGACUCCAUCGACCUGAGGAUAUGGUGUGUGUGGUACUGAGGAAACUCAAACACACUGCCUUCCUCCAGCAGGUCCAAUUCUUUCUCCUUGUUGGAAAUGUCUUCCUCUUUAGAGCCGACCUCCCCUUGGACUGUCUCUGAUAUAUGGGAUGACUUGCUUUCUUGUCCUUGAUUUUUUUCCGUUUUAUAGUCAAUAGUUUUUCUAUCUUCACUCCUGUUACCAGAAGGUGCCCCUACCUUUCGUCUCUCUACUUGAGAGAUAAUAUCCUCUUCAUCAUCAUCAUCCUCGUCCUCCUCUUCAUCAUCUUCUUCUUCCUCCUCCUCAAACUUAUCGAAACAGGGCAGUUCCUUCGCUAUUGGUGUCUUCUGUUCCUCACUAUGUGACGUCACAGUUGUCUCACUGUCACAGCUGUCAGCACUGCUUCCCAUGCCCUGCAAAGACUCCUGAACCUAGGACACAUAAGAGACAGCAAAGGAGUGAACAUACUGGAGACUCAACUACUGCCUUCUCAACAGGCAGUCUAAGAAUCCAAUUCCAUAUUCAUUGGGCAUUGGAGUGGGGAGCAGAAAGAGUAAUGCAGUUAGUGUGCAAGAGACACAGUGAAGGAGAACAAAGAAACCAUGAUAUCAGAUACAUUAGAAGCACAGCCAACUCUCGCUGCCGUUAGGAUAUUAAUUAUUAGUUCCUUACAAAGACAUUACAUAUGGUGUAUGCCAGCCUAUAUAUAGUUCCUUCUCCAACCACCUAGAAGAUUUCAGUCACGAAGGUCAUCUUUGUAAGUUCUCUUCACUAGCUGCCAAGUUCUCAUUACCCCUAGCCUCAUCAUUCACCCGUUCUCUGAAUUCAGCUCAGCACUUUGUCUCAAUAAAGCAGUGAAGGCGGCAGAAGAGAGCCUAGCAACUCCAUGGCACAAACCUUGUGCAGUCUCAAUACACCUUUUUAAAACAGCAUAACAGAA